UGUCUGAGAUUUCAGUAACAUUACAAUCCAACUUUGGAACAAUACGAAUAUUCGCCUCAUACUGAACAGAAAGAUGUAACUUCGCAACUCGGCAGGAUAACUGGCGACUCAAACAAGGGCCUGGGGCUUAUCAGUCACCGGCGCAAUUUCAUAUCGACAGCAACCAAUAAGUACCUACUUCAACUUUAUCUUAUCUACCUGCGAUAUUUGACCAUUCCUGAAGGGAAAGGGAGUAAAGAUGUUGGGACCUUUGGCCAGGAUUUCGAACCAUGCGGGUCGUGAUGUUAUGAAGAGAUUCGUCAGGAAUGGAUCCCAUGGAGGUAUCCCUGGAGAGAACCUUCCAUUCAACAUCCACCACCGCAAAAGGUUGACAUUCAACCUGUUCUGGUUCGUGGGCACCGGGUUAGCCGCACCCUUCCUCAUCGUGUUGCACCAACUGAAGAAGAGCGGCUGAAUGCAGAAUUUAUCAUAAAUGUA